rnacentral:misc_RNA from 1 species
AGAGUUCAUCCAAAUGGAAGCUGUGGAACCACAAUUAUCAAGCCCCGAUAGUUCAUCACUUGAUGGUAGGAUGGCAGUUAUAAGCACAAAUCUACAGUCACACUCACCAUUUAUCAUAGAUGAUGAUGAUUUUGAAACAUGUUCCACCAUUCAAAGCAGCAAGUCACUGACACUUCAAAGUGUAAGAUCUUUUUAUGAUGAUGGGAACCAUGAAAACAGAAAACGACGAAUCAGGUUCAACUUGCCAGAGAACUCUGGCAUGGAUCCUGAAGUUAGGGAUGAGCUUAUAGAUUUGGUUCAGGCAAAGGAGUCAGGGGUUGCAUAUAUAAUGGGACACUCAUAUGUCAAGGCACGUAGAUUGUCCUCUUGCUGGAAGAAAUUUGUCAUUGACGUUGCAUAUUCAUUUCUGCGUAAGAACUGCAGAGCUUCCGCUGUUGCACUUAACAUUCCUCACAUUAGUCUUAUUGAAGUUGGCAUGAUAUACUAU